CUGCCAGCUAUUCCCAGAUUCCCAUUCCUCGUUGCCUUCCCUAAACCUCUCCUGAGGGAUCUUCUAUUACACAGCAAGAUUAUCUCCAUCCCGACCUGAGAAUUGGGAUCUCCAAUUUACCCCUUGAGACUCUGCUCUGGACAGCUCAUCUGCACAGUAACGCACAACACAGUUCCUGCAUCUAAGAGUGUCCGGAAAUCACCUUGAGAUGUUACAAUUCCAGGGCCGAAUGUGUCCACUCACUGGGCCAAAGAAGGUGGCUAUGGAGAUGUACAUUCAGGAAUCUCUGGCUUUUGGUUUUUUCCACAUAUCCACCUCUCCUGCAGGAGCCAGCUUCUUCUUUGUUGGUAAGAAGGAUGG